AGAGAGUUGGAGUUUGUUGGCUGUGCUGUGAGGAGCUGCCCAUGAGAAAUCACCAAGCUUUAUUAUGAAGUCCAAUAAAAUACCCUGGGGACAAGGAGGAAGAGAGAGUAGCAAUUCAAAGGCAACAUCAAAAGGGCUGUCUUUGGGCUCCCAGCAGUGCCAGGUGCCCUGCACCUGCCACAACCAGCUGAAGGAGGCUGUGAUUUAAUGGCAGGAUGUAUGUCCAUCUUUGCCAGCCUUAAAAACAUCAGUUUGUGAUAUCCAAUGGCUGAAGUAAGCCCAGGCUGCUGGGGUUAUGGAAUUCAUGAGGAUUUUAAAACCUGGAAGAAGCCCAGUCUCUCAUAGACAGCCAUGGGAGGUUUCUCCCAUCCUUUGAGGGCAGGGGAAGCAUCUCCCUGCCCUGACACCGUCACAGGGACCUGUGCAGGCCCUGCCCGAAAUUCAAGGCUUCUCUGCACCUCCUUCAUGAAAAAAGCAGCCUUGUGCCCACCACUGGAGCCUAUCCAUAAGCAUUAAUAUUUAAUAUGUGGUUUUUUUGUCAUUAUUCUUACCUUAAUAAUGGUGUCAUUUGACCAGACAGUAUUUGGUAAAUCAGCUGUUUUUUGCUCAGUUUAGCUGAGUGAUGUUAAUCUAGUCUUUCUUUGAUUAAAAAACUGACUAGACUUGGUCAGAAACUAUCAGAAAAGCAAGUCUAAAACUAAAAAAAUUUGUUUCCAUACAGGAGAAAGUAAGACAGUAUUGGGUAAAAGCGUAUGACAAGUUGUAUUCCUUUGGAAAGUACAUUGAUGCUAAGAAAGGAAAAUGCUGCUUUUUGUCAUUGGCAAAAAAAAUUAGCACUAUAGUUCUAGUGUUUUCUUACACUAGGUAGAAGGAUUUUGGACAUUGGCUAAACCAUGAUCAAGAGAGGUUUGUUUUCUUUCUACUGCUUCAAGCAAGGGAAAAAAUCUCCUGGAUUUAAUUGAGGAUCUGACACACUCCAGGUGCUCCAAGGCUCAGGAGGAUGGGCUGUCCUGCCUUCCCCUCUGGGGUCUUCAGGAGUCUUGGGAACAUUUUGUAUAAAUUGUGCUUUUCCCCAGGAACUUUUGGGGUGAUUGGCCCUCAGCAGGAACUGUGCCAAGCUGUUAUCCCUCAGUGCCAUGCCAGGGGAAGCUGCAGCCCCCAUCCCUGAGCAGAUUUGGGCUCCUGGUGCUUGGGGCAGGUUACAGAACAGGUAUGGGGCACCAGCCCUGCUCCCCUCCAAGGGUGUCACACUCAGUGCCAGCACUGAGGACAGAGUGCUUUUGUGGCAGUGUUCCCUCAAGAAUGAGGCUUUUAAAUAUAGCAGGAUUGACUCAAAAUCCCAGAUUAAUUCACUUUUAAAUACCAGCUCUUGGAUUCUCAUCCUCUGCUUCUAGGUGCAUAUCCCCAAGCCUCAGUGGGUGUUUAUGAGAUCUUGAAAUUUAAUCCUUGAAGAAUACAUUAAAACUUCAAUUCCUUGCGCAGUCCAGUGAUUUUGGAGGCUGAGGCCUGGAGGAACAAAUAAACAUUCAGAGACAAUCAGAACCAGCAGCGUUUUGUGCUGGUCCCCUUGGGGCAGUGACAGCCCUGCGCAGCCUGAGGCAUUUAUAGGGUGGAUUGAGUGAGGGUUUUCACAGCCUUUGGGCAGCCACUGAGUUCCCUCUUCUCCUGUGUUAAGAGAAGAAAAUCCUUCCCUUAACUUCCUUCAGGGCAAGGGCUCCUUGUGAUCCACAUAGCCCGAGUGCCCAUGGAUUAUUUCUUGGGGUAAGGAAAAAGAUGAAGUGUUUGAAGCCUCUAAGUGCAAGGGUAAAUUUCCAGAGGGGGUUGUGCCUCCUGGAGAAAUCUCAGUGGCAUCUGCAAAACCUUUCACAUGCAGAUUCUGGCUGCCAAGGGAUGGGGCAGCCCCUGAGCUGUGGAAUCAUUGGCAUGAAGCUUCCAGGUAUUUGCAAGCCCAGCUGAAAGUCCUCUUAAUUUAUGUUUUCAAGCCCACAGCCUCAGCAAGCUGCUGGGGGAAUAUUCAGGUUUUCAGGAGAAAAAAAAAAACAGUAUCAAAAGAACACCUAUCCCACCCCACAGCCUCUGCAGCUGGGCUGGAAUGGCUGGGGAGUAAGGCCUGCAGCCUCGUUUCCCCAGCAAGAAGAGACCUCUCCAGCCUUCAAGGCACCCACAAGAAUUCACAGCCAAGCUGAGAAAAAAAGAAAAAAAAAAAAGUAAGUCUUCUCCUAUCCAAAAAGGUGAAAAGACAGGACAAAGUUAAAAGGAACUCCACAAAUGACUGCUGAGAACAGAAAUACCCUGUGUAACCAUGGCUUCCUCACCACCUGCAUGCUGCAGCCACAGCCUGGGAAAUGCCCAGGAAAGUGUUCCACUGCUGGCUGUGGGUGAUGCUGGGGACAGUGAUGCCCUCAGCCCAGGGUGGGGGUCCUUGAAAGUGCCUGAGCCGGGACAGAGAAGCAGAAAUCCAGAAACUUCAAUGACCUCUUGUCCCCGAGGUGCCUGAAGGAGCUCAGGCCUCUCCUGCCAGAGCCAGCCCCAGUGGAGGGGCUUUGCUGGCUGGUGUUACAGCCGGAAUCCUCCUGGGACAGGCAAAGGCCAC